UACGUACCGUCCAAACGUUAUUCGGAAUCACUGGGCGUAAAGCGCACGUAGGCGGAUUGUUAAGUCAGGGGUGAAAUCCUGGAGCUCAACUCCAGAACUGCCUUUGAUACUGGCGAUCUCGAGUCCGGGAGAGGUGAGUGGAACUGCGAGUGUAGAGGUGAAAUUCGUAGAUAUUCGCAAGAACACCAGUGGCGAAGGCGGCUCACUGGCCCGGUACUGACGCUGAGGUGCGAAAGCGUGGGGAGCAAACAGG
rnacentral:rRNA from 1 species